UAAAAAUGGCCAAGAAACCCAUUGUUUCUCC
rnacentral:piRNA from 1 species